CCGACACCGCCGUGCGUCGCCGCAUGUCCUCCACUGCCUCUCUCUCUCUCUCCUUUCUGCCGGUGCCGCUGAGCUCGAGCUCGAGCUCAAUGGUGAGAGGCUCAGUACGUCGACAACGAGUCGGUCGAUCCAACAUUCAAUCGGCUGCCGUGCAGCGAUCGGAUCUGGCGAAGGGAGGAGGAGCGCACGGCGGUGUCGACUUGAAGUAGGUUGCUGGCGGCGUCCCCAGCGUGGUGGUGUAGGCCGAUGGGCCCAGGAGGCGAACGCCUCGAGCUUGCGAGAAGAUGGCGUCGGCACGGAGUUCUCGAAGGCGAGGAGUCGGUCUGGCGGCGCAUGACUUGAUUUUCGAGUGAUGUGGGGGCUCCAUGAGCAGUGGCAAGCUCCUGUUUUUUCUGGUCAUCAGAGGGAGGAGGAGUUGUCUCCAUCGCCUAGCCGUUCUCUGGAUGCAUCAAGCUUGCCCUCAUCGCAUCACGCCAUCGUCCACUGGUAUUUGAUUUUCAUUUCUAUUCCCCACCAAGAUUUGAGGUGUUGUUUUGUGUGAUGCCCUGCCUACAAGGUGUUCGUUGUUUUUCCUACAAGCAUGGUGAUGUGGCGAUCUUAAAGCUAUCAGUUACGCCUGCAUGACCUGUAAUGUAAGCCCGAAUGAUUUGUUAGGAUUUAGAUUUGGAUCCUACUUUCCACUUAAUUUGCUCUAAACAUUUGAAACUACCUUAAUAUUAGCAGUUAGAUCGAUAUUCAUAAUACAAGGGAAGAGUUAAAAUUGCUAAUGAAAUGCAUCAUUGAAAAUAUUCAUUUGUAGUUAGUUCUAUAGAUGUAUGCAUUUCAUAUAUAAUGAUUGCUGACAACUGCUUUUUUGGCUAGAAUAUUUAUGUGACUAUCUACCUCAAUAGCUAAAGAACUUCUCAAAUUGCAAUCAGUCGUCGCUUGUCCCUGUGAUUCAUAAAUCAGUAUGGUCCCUGAGAUUCCUGAUUGAGUUUUCAAGGAAAACACCAGCAUUAAGUGGCCAAUACUGUGCAAAUAAUUCUAUAAUGUGUGACGCCCAAUCUGGUUUUAGAAAAUUGCCCUUUGUGUGUUCUGUAGAUGAAGAGUUCUAGAAUCUACAACCAGAUAAAUUUAAUUCCUAUAAUCACAUUGUAACCACAUCAGGCAUGGUCUGCCAUAAUGAAGAGGUUUUUUACUGCAUUCCUUUAGCUCAUUUUUUUUAGAUAAUGGAAUAUAAUAUCCCGGCCUUUGCUCAAAAAGAACUACAGCCAAUUAUUACAAAGAUCCACUCCAGAAGAGUCAGUUGUAAUAGAGCAGAAGCAAUGUUCCUCUGAAAAUAAUAGGGUACUUUUAUUUUCUAGAUGCUACUAUGCCAUUAUUAGUUCUAGCUAUGAUCUUCCAGCUCUAGCUUAAUGAUAAGUAAAUAAAGCCAUACAGCCCCAUAUUAAAUCAUUGAUAAUUAACUAAUACAUCCAAAUUGAAAGAAUAGUCACUAAUUCAAUAUUCUUGCAGGUAACCUCUCAUUUAUUGCACGUUUGGAUGCAACAUUUAGGUGGCAAGGAGAUUAUACAUUGGCGAUAGCAUGGAGCAACAGGCAGAAAUGCCAUUCUUUGUUCAUUUUAUUUUUCCUUUUUUUUAGUUUGAUUAGAUUAUGGUGCUUAAGGAGCUGGAUUUGCUGUUAAAUCUUAAAUGAUUUAAACAGCGGGCCAUGGGUUCACUAUUGGCUAGAGGUGUUCAGAUCAUUUAAUUCUUACAUGGCAUUUCUUUUGGGUCCUGCAUCUAUAAUCCUGGUUGUCUUUCUGAAUUGAGAUAAUACAAAGCAUGAGCCUAUAUGGCUCUUUCUGAUCACGAAA